CAUAUGGGGCAAGCAACUCCUGAUACCGCCAGGAUGGGCUGGUUUAUUCAGUGUCUGUUAGCUGCGUUUAAAAGGUGUGUAGGAGUGAAGUAAUACAUAUUUACUUAAUUCUCUAGGCUAAGCUAUAAUAGUCAAAAUGGAAUGAAUAAUUAAAUGUAAAAGCGAUCUGGAGAUACAUCUGCAUAUGUUUUUGUAAUAUUAAGUUAGGGACAGAUUUUCCAACCAUAACUGAAGAGAGAAAUGCUAAAGGAAUACUGAGAUUUGACUUGAUAAUUAUGUGUAAACAUCCGAAUCAUCUAAAUGACAAUCAAUUAAUGAAAUAAAAAUUGAUGCAAGACAAAAAUUCAAUAACUUAACACAUAUAAUGAACAGACAGAUAAUCUCAAGGCACUGUGUUUUUGUCGCUCAAAAUAAUGGUCACUAGUCUAAGAGGAGAGUAGCAAUAACUAUAGAAAUAUAAAUUAUAUAUGCACAUUAUCAGCAUUACAUGAUGAUAGUUGAAAAUACAAAUUACCAUUAGUAAUAAACAUUAUCAUCAAAUGCACCAGAAUCAGAAUUACUUGACCUUUUAGGAAUUGAUCCUGCUCUCCAUAAUGAGUAACUAAGAAAAUAUGGGUCAUUUUUUUCCCUUAACUCUGUUUAUGCUCCUGAAUCUCCUGAUGCAUUUUAUUGCUCCAUCUUUUGCAUAAUUAUUUUUUGUAGCUUCUUUCUCUUCAGCUGAGAUAUCUCCUAUAUUCUCUUUACACUAUUCCAUAAAUGAUCCCAAUUUCUUCCUAGGCAUCAUUGGUGAAUUCCAUGCUUGUGAUGACAAUGUAGUGAUAAAUUAUCCAUGUGUUUUUUCUUCCAGUUUUGUCUGUUCCUCAAGUGACUCUCCUGGAUGUAGCAAUAGGCCAGUAGCGAUGCAUGACAUUUUGGUCAGGUCAGGCAGUGAGAAGGAAAGAAAAUCUAAACUCUCUCUUUGAGAUUUUCAAUGCAAGAUCUGGGUGGAAGCCGACAAAUAAUUUGGAAGUACCCACGAUUAGUCAGUAUGAGGAUUUUACGCUCCCUCAAGAGUAAUUGAGGUGGGGGGUCGGGAUGGGGGGUGAAAGGGAUGAAGAGGGUUGAAUAACAAACUUCCAGCUAUAAAUAAAUGUCUUGGGGAUGUAACGCACUUGUUGACUCUAUUUAUAUUUAUAUUAACUAUAGUUAAUAACGCUAUAUUGUGUAUUUGAAAGUGGCUGAGUAGAUCCUAAAAUUUCUCAUCAGAAGAAAAAAAUAUGUAAUUAUGCAUAGUGAUGGAUGUUAACUAGACUUAUUGUGGUGACCAUUUCACAAUAUACACAGAUAUUGAAUCGCUAUGUUGUACACCUGAAACUAAUAUAAUAUGUCAAUUAUAUCUUAAUUAUUGUUUUUUAAAAAGAGUGCUCGAGGUUGUUUUAUCAGAUGGACAAAAGAAGCUAUUUCAAAGGGAAACAAGAAGACCUAAUAUUUAGAGCCUAAUAUUUAGACUCCGUGGGGUCCUUGAGAAAUGACUCUGUGUCCUGGCCACACUACUGGACAGUGCACUUGAAAUACCAAGUAAAGUAAAAGAAAUAAAUGAUAUCAGUGCCCCACAAACAUUUUCACGUAGGAUGAUGUAGGAAUCCCGGGUUCCCUCCUACCCUGUCCCCCCCACACAAAUCUUGACCAGGGACAGAGUUACAGAAAAGAAAAGGCUGGGUAAAUUUACACCACAGUCAUCACCACACACCCGCCAGAAGCCUCAAAUUAAAAUCUGGACAGUAUUACGUGUCAGCAAGAAUGUGAAGAUAUGGGAAUUACAGUGUGGGACUAUCAAUUGGUUUGUUGACUUUGAAGAAAAAAAAUGACAAUAUCCCCAGUAAAGCUGAAGAUAUGGUUACCCUAUGAUCCCUGCUUAAUACCAUAAGUAAAUCCAUGUGAAUGGUAACCAGAUAUAUAUAUAUGUGUAUAUAUAUAUAUAUACACACACAGAAGAAUCGUCUCAGAAGCAUCAUUUGUAGCUGCCAAAAGUGAACACAAUCCAGACCUCCAUCAACAAUCGAAGGAAUAAACAAAAUGGUGUAUUAAUAGGAUUAACUUGCAGCACUGAGUAUGAAUCUUAAAUACUUAAUAUUGAAUGAAAGAAAUCAGAUGCAACAGUAUAUAUAUGUUACCCUAAUUACACAAGGGGAAAAAUAACAGGCAAAAAUCAGACUAUGAUUUUGGCAUAGAAAUAGACAUGAUAAGAGUAUAAAGAAAGGCAAGGGAGGGUUAUUAUGCUAAUUUGGAUAUUCGAUACCCUGGGGGCAAGAGGAGUCUAGCAACAGUAGGGGGCAUGCAGGAGACCUACUGGUGGUAGUAGUACUCUAGUUCUUGACCUGGGUUGAUGUCACACAGUUGUUUAUUUAAUAACCAUCUAUAUGUAUCCAUUUUUUUUGUUAAGAUUAUGAUAGUUUACAACCUUGUGAGAUUUCAGUUGUACAUUAUUGUUGGUCAUGUUGUGGGUACACCACUUCACCCUUUGUGCCCUCCCCCCACCCCCCUUUCCCCUGGUAACCACCGAUCAGUUCUCCUUGUCUAAUAUGUAUCCAUUUUUUGUACUUGUAUAUUUCACAAUGAAAAUGAAAUAGAAGAAAGGAAGGUGAAAAGAAAGAAAUUUCUCUAUUCAUGAAGUUCUUAAAGUUAUAAUUUUGGUCAAUCAGGUUCUUCUCCAAAUUCAGAUUCUAAAAAAGUGAAAGCACAAACACUGUUUUCAGGACAAGUGUAACUGUUCUUUGUAAAUGUAUUUCACGUCAAUGACCAGCUCACACUGACCUCUGAGUCCGUAGGUUACAAUCUGAUUGACUCAGUACUUAAAAUAAGCUUAACUGGACAUUUUCAAAGAUUAUUUUCACAGAGCUACAAUUCACUCAGGCUCUUUUUUCUGUGGAUCUCAAAACAGGAAUCCUGCCUCAGCAAAUCUAGUAUUUAUUUGUCAGUAUGCUUUGGAGGAGAAAGAAGAAAAUUCUUAAUUUUGUCAACUUAAUAAUAGAAAUUGAAUGUGACUGUUGGGGGAGGCAAGCCUCCUUUCACAAUUAUGAAAGAACACAGGUUUAUUAACCAUGGAGGAUCCCAAAGUGAAGCCUCUGGGUCUCUUCCUAGGUCUGAGUUGACUUGUGGUGUCUUCUUUUUGUCCUUUUCUUCAUAUUCUGAUGAUUCAGACCACUUAACCCUCCUUCAUGCUGACAGAUCACCGUUGGAGCUGUGAGGUUCCUGUUACCCCAAGCUGGUGGCAUAUUCUCUCCAGUUCCCGCUUUCCUCAUUGCCACUGGAAAAAUCCCCUAGGUUUCCUCAGUUUGAAGUUCUGCUUAUUUCAAAAUAGUUUCGUUAUCCCUGCUACUGCGAACAUCUCGCCCUCUUGUUUCCAAGAAAGUUUAAUGAACAGACCUCUUCUCAAACUAAAGAUGAAAUCCCAUCAUUCUACUUAUUUUAUGUAGGAAAUCCACAUCUACAGGACCCUUCAGAGAGGGACCCCUCUUGCCCUGGAGUAAUCCUAUUAAGCACCUUCAUCUCACUGUUUCUAAUUAUAAUAAGAAAGUCAGAAGAAACUCGGUUUCUCCUAUAAUGAAUUCAUACAAGAAUUUCUGCAAGUGACAAAAUGUUGGAGAGAAUGACUUCAACACUCAACAGACUGAUUUUUUUAAAAAAAUAGAUCUGAUUAUUUCCUACAAUGUGAACAGCCUCUGUGUGUCUCCUAUGGCUUGACUGACUCACAAAGUUGUCCUUUCUUUCCCUCCAAUACCAGAAGUUGGAAGGAAACCCCUCCCAGCUACUGUAACAUAUAAGCAUGUAACUCAUUGUCUAAACACUGUAAUCGUGGAGGAUAUCAAAACUUGGCAAAGUGGAGAAGAUUGUUCUGUGCCAUGCAUCAUGAGGUCAUGACCAUCAGUGAAGACUGUCAGAGCCCUCAGUGGCCAGAUGACCCGCGUGCAUCAACUGGCGUGGUGUCACUGAAUUGGAGAUCUCUCCUUGUGUUCCAGGAGUAAACACAUGGAAGAUGUCAUAGACACACAGAAGGGAAUGCUGUGUGAGGUCGUAGCGAGGACUCUCCUCUUCAGACCAGGGCAGGGAACCCAGCACACCAGAGGGAUAUGGCACCUGCAUAACUGCUUCAGUGUUUUUGUUAUUAUUGUUGUUUUUUAUCAAAAUAAAGCAUUGUUUGCUUUGAUUCUCAUUCAGAAUUUUCUUGAAGAUACAUUCCAUCCUUUGAAUUAUAGAAAAUUCCUGUAUUUCAAUGAGGCGAGGACAUAUUCACAGGAAAAUGGAGUUCCCUUAUACGUAUGAAUCUUCUUGUGUCCAUUAAGGAGAUAUGGCAAGACAAACUUUUCCUCAGCACACUCCACAGACAUCCACUGUUAACUCUUCCUGCUUCCAAUGUCCUAGUUCAACAUGUCAGUUCUGGCACUCCAAAAGUUCCUGGACCCAGGACCCUGGACCAGCUGGCUGUCCUACAAUGCAACUCAAUUCACCCAAAUUCUGACACUGUUUACCUGGAGACAGCAUCAGAUUCCACAGGUUGAGGGUUCAGUCCUACCAGACUGUUCCCCCCCAACCUCAGAUUCCAAUCCCAAGCCCCGGUUGUCACUUGCACUUCUGACCGACAGGCUAUAGAUCAGACGUUCCCACAACCUCCUCCUUGGGUUCAAUUUAAUUUGCUACAGCAGCUCAAAGAACUCAGAGAUAUGUUUUACUUUUAAGAUUACCAGUUUAUCAUAGAAGAAUAUAACUCUGAAACAACGAAAUGGAAGAGAUGCCUAGGGCAAGGUAUGGGGAACCGGCACAGAUCCAUGCACUCUCCAGGCACACUACUCUCCCAGCACCUCCACGUGUUCACCCAGAAACUCCCCAGACGCUGUACUGUUGGGGUUUUCUGGAGGCUUUCUCUCGUGGGCAUGAUCAAUUAUUAACUCCGUUUCUAGCCCCUCUCCCUCUCUGGAGGAUGAAGGAUGGGGCUCAAAAUUCCAAACUUCUAGUCAAGACUUGGUCUUUCUGGUAACCCGCUCCCAUCCUGGAGUCAUCCGGGGGCCCACCAGAGUCACCUGUUGGGACAAAAGAUGCUCCUACUGCUCUCACCACUUAGGUUUUUACAAGGGUUUGAGGAGCUCUGUGUCAGGAACCAGGGGAAGACAUCAAUAUAUAUAUUUCUUAUUAUUUCACACUUCCCAACUCAUGUUUACUCCUAUUCCAUGAGCUUUCAGUGUCCACAAAAUGUAACAUUUUUUUAAACAGUUAAACUCUUUAUAGAGGUACUGGAUCAUGUUCUCAGCCUAGUUUUUAUCCAUUGUCAGAGAUUGAAAUACGCUAAGUGCUCUUAGAAAUAUGUGUGUGAAUGAGAUUUUAUUUUGCUGAACCUACAAAAAGAAUAAUAUUGCAGUCUUCUCCUGUUUGUAGUACAGAUGUGGCUAAAGUGACAAGUGUGGAAUCCUCGCUGAGCCUUGACACAGAGGGAAAACGUCUCUUUGAAUGAUAUUUGAGAAUUCUAGAUGGAAGGCCUGUUCCAGGAGGGAACUCCUACCAUGGAAACUACGGUGUGAUAUGAACGAGGUGUGACAGACAGCGAGGAACCCAGAGAGGCCGGGUGGAUCACAGUCCUCUCUGUCUCCAAAGUCUCUGCCAGGUACGGCAAACAAUUAUUUACCAAACAUUUACUUUCCCAUCUCCACAUGAAUUGACCCUGGAAGUCCCAGACCCCCACCGCCAACAUCCCCUGUGUCUUCAGCUUGAGUUGGUAAUUAAGGUGGUGGCUUCAGCCGUUUUGGUGAGUUACUCAGUUUUCCUAGGUUUCUCCCAUGCAUACAUGUUAUUAAACUUUGUUUUCUUUUUCUCCUUUUUUCUGUCUUAUGUCAGUUUAACUCUUAGAACAGCCAGAAGAACCUAGAAGAAUAGAGGGAAAAUUCUUCCCCCCCAUCCUAUGUAGGGAUUCAGCUUCUAAUAGCCCCUUCUUUCCGGAUUUUGAGCCUCUGGCUGCAGUUUAUCCAUGUCUGCAUAUGCCUGAGGAGCAUAGCAUUUGUAGUCAGAUACUCAUGAACAGGCGUUACAGAUUACACACACUUCCCCAUCUGCGGCCUCUGGGAGCAGUCAAGCCCACCCAGGCUUAAUACAGCAGAGAAGGGUGCAAACGUGCUGUAUCGACAGUCAGUAUCUGGAGACAGUAAUGUGAAAUGGAAAAAACGUUGUGAGCUAAUAGGAAAUAUAGAUAGGUCUCUGGCCACAGUUCCUGACACAGGGCUCCUGGAACACUGGUAAAUUCCUAAGUGCCAAGAGCAAUAGAAGCUUCUUUUGUUCUAACUAGGCGACUCUGGGUGGGCUCCUGUGUGGCUUUUGGAUGCAGG
rnacentral:lncRNA from 1 species